GUUGCUUCAAAUGGUGAAUUCUCUCUAUGUCAAUGAGAGUUUUCAAGUUUCCCGAAGCAUAAAUCAAUUCUUUUCAACCAGUUUUAAACAGCUUGAUGAAUGGAUUAAUUUAAUUAAUCUAUACUUUCAUCGCGUUACCUGUCUGCUGGUACAUUU